rnacentral:rRNA from 1 species
GAGAUCUGACGCCGAGCCGAUUCAGGUGAAGUGGGUAAUCCUAUGCUGCCAAGAAAAGCCUCUAGCGAGUGUUAAAGCCGCCCGUACCCCAAACCGACACAGGUGGUCAGGUAGAGAAUACUAAGGCGAUCGAGAUAACUAUGGUUAAGGAACUCGGCAAAAUGCCCCCGUAACUUCGGGAGAAGGGGGGCCCGUUCUGGUGAGGAGAUUUACUCUCCGAGCUGGGAUUGGCCGCAGAGACCAGGCCCAAGCGACUGUUUACUAAAAACACAGGUCCAUGCUAAGUCGCAAGACGCUGUAUAUGGACUGACGCCUGCCCGGUGCUGGAACGUUAAGGGGACGGGUUAGCGACUUCGGUCGCGAAGCUCAGAACUUAAGCGCCAGUAAACGGCGGUGGUAACUAUAACCAUCCUAAGGUAGCGAAAUUCCUUGUCGGGUAAGUUCCGACCUGCACGAAUGGCGUAACGACUUGGGCGCUGUCUCAGCCGUAGACUCGGCGAAAUUGCACUACGAGUAAAGAUGCUCGUUACGCGCGGCAGGACGGAAAGACCCCGGGACCUUUACUACAGCUUGGUAUUGGUGGUCGAUUCGAUUUGUGUAGGAUAGGUGGGAGACUGUGAACUUCGGACGCCAGUUCGAAGGGAGUCAUCGUUGAAAUACCACUCUGAUCGUAUUGGCUGUCUAACCUAGAUCCGUAAUCCGGAUCGGGGACAGUGCCUGGUGGGUAGUUUAACUGGGGCGGUUGCCUCCUAAAAUGUAACGGAGGCGCUCAAAGGUUCCCUCAGCCUGGUUGGCAAUCAGGUAUCGAGUGUAAGUGCACAAGGGAGCUUGACUGUGAGACUGACGGGUCGAGCAGGGACGAAAGUCGGAACUAGUGAUCCGGCGCUGGCAAGUGGAAGCGGCGUCGCUCAACGGAUAAAAGGUACCCCGGGGAUAACAGGCUGAUCUUGCCCAAGAGUCCAUAUCGACGGCAUGGUUUGGCACCUCGAUGUCGGCUCGUCGCAUCCUGGGGCUGGAGUAGGUCCCAAGGGUUGGGCUGUUCGCCCAUUAAAGCGGCACGCGAGCUGGGUUUAGAACGUCGUGAGACAGUUCGGUCCCUAUCCGCCGCGCGCGUAAGAGCCUUGAGAAGAUCUGUCCCUAGUACGAGAGGACCGGGAUGGACGAACCUCUGGUGUGUCAGUUGUCCUGCCAAGGGCACUGCUGAUUAGCUACGUUCGGAAGAGAUAACCGCUGAAAGCAUCUAAGCGGGAAACUCGCUUCAAGAUGAGGGCUCUCACAGGGUUAACCUGGUAAGGCCCCCAGUAGACCACUGGGUUGAUAGGCCGGAAGUGGAAGUGCGGUAACGCAUGCAGCUGACCGGUACUAAUAGGCCGAGGACUUGAGC